AUAGCGCGGUGGUCCCACCUGACCCCAUGCCGAACUCAGAAGUGAAACGCCGUAGCGCCGAUGGUAGUGUGGGGCUUCCCCAUGUGAGAGUAGGGA
rnacentral:rRNA from 2 species